GGGGAAUGUGGGCAGGAGGAGGUCUGGAAUUUAACAGAUGCCACUGAAGUGUGCAAGAGUGCAAAAUGAAGCCCAGCCUGAAGCCAUGAGUUAUCCCAGAGUUAUAUCUGAGUUACUUGUGUCAAUUAAAAAUAUUGUCCAGU
rnacentral:lncRNA from 12 species